UACGGAGGGGGCAAGCGUUGUCCGGAAUCAUUGGGCGUAAAGCGCGUGUAGGCGGUUCAGUAAGUCUGCUGUGAAAGUCCAGGGCUCAACCCUGGGAUGCCGGUGGAUACUGCUGAGCUAGAGUACGGAAGAGGCGAGUGGAAUUCCCGGUGUAGCGGUGAAAUGCGCAGAUAUCGGGAGGAACACCAAUUGCGAAGGCAGCUCGCUGGGACGUUACUGACGCUGAGGUGCGAAAGCGUGGGGAGCAAACAGG
rnacentral:rRNA from 1 species